rnacentral:rRNA from 1 species
UACAGAGGGGGCAAGCGUUGUUCGGAAUUACUGGGCGUAAAGGGCGCGUAGGCGGCCUUCUAAGUCGAACGUGAAAUCCCCGGGCUCAACCCGGGAACUGCGUCCGAGACUGAAAGGCUUGAAUCCGGGAGAGGGAUGUGGAAUUCCAGGUGUAGCGGUGAAAUGUGUAGAUAUCUGGAGGAACAUCGGUGGCGAAGGCGGCAUCCUGGACCGGUAUUGACGCUGAGGCGCGAAAGCCAGGGGAGCAAACGGG